CGUUGUGGUGGUCAUUGUUGUUUGGGUGGAGCAGCUGGUGGUGCGUGAGGUGGUGCGGGUCUCGUCGGUGGAAGUUGAGCAGCGAGGUGGGACCUGAUCGGAAUCCGCCAUUGCUGCAGGCGAACAGAGAGAAAAAAACAACGGAGAAGUGAGCUGUGGUGGAAAGAAGGAAAAUAUAUAUAGAUAGAGAAAAUGAGGAAAUGAAAACUGAAACAG
rnacentral:lncRNA from 1 species